rnacentral:tRNA from 1 species
UGGGCUCAUCGUCUAAUGGAUAAGACAUUAACCUUCUAAGUUACUAAUGGAGGUUCGAUUCCUUCUGGGCUCAU